AACGCUUUUGAUGGUAUUUUCACCUUUGUCGUAGUUAAAUAAAUUGAAUUUUCAAAAGAAUCCCACAAAUAAAAACGAUUUGUCACAAAAGACUGCUCUAUGUUCAUUAAUGUGGCUCUUAGUUUUCACUUAUUUCAAAAAAAAUGUGGUUCUUAGUUUUCACGUUUAAAGUGUAUGACAUCUCAAGCAGGAAGGAGUGCCAUUGCAUGCUCUUCUUGACUCCAGACAAUGAUUUCGCUGGCACGGAUCAGACCAUCUCGCUGGAAGAAAUCAAGGCAACAACAGCAAAUAUGUGAGCUCUGAUGAAUUAUUAGAUUUAACUUUGUACUUGGUCAAAGGAGAAUACGAGAAAAAGAAAACAAGGAAAACAACAAUUAUAUUGUUUGUAUGUAAAUCUGUAUACUAACAAGCAACCAAAUCUUUCUGUCUUCUUUAUCUAUUCCUAUUUCACUCUUCCUUAAUCUGUAAACUUCUCUCCACCAAAUCUUGGUGCAGCCGUGUUCUUCUUCAGCUUCUUACACUUGGGACGUGCCUUUCUUUUUCCUUUGUUGGUAAAGUUGUUUGGCACAAUGUAAUAUUUGCCCAACUUAAACAUAUAUAAACAUAAAUGGCAACCUAGUAAAUGUUUA